rnacentral:rRNA from 1 species
GACUGUGCAAAGGUAGCAUAAUCAGUUGGCCUAUAAUUGAGGUCUCGUAUGAAUGAAUAAUUGGGUAGCAACUGUCUUAAUAUAUUUUUACGAAUUUAGUAAGCAAGUGAAAAUACUUGCUAAUAUACAAAAGACGAGAAGACCCUAGAAACUUGCGCGUAUUUUUGUUGGGGCGACAGGAUUACAAUAAACUAAUCUUAUUUUACUAGACGUACAGCAGAAAGAUUAAGUUACUCUAGGGAUAACAGCAUAAUUUUAAUAGUUUGUGACCUCGAUGUUGGACUAGGUACAAAACUCC